CAAAUACUCCCUCCGUUUCAUAAUUCUUGACGCAGUUAUGUCGUAUCUAGACGCAUUUUAGUGUGUAGGUUCGAUCAUUUUAGAAAGAACUUGCGUCAAGAAUUAUGGAACGGAGGGAGUAAUGG
rnacentral:pre_miRNA from 1 species